rnacentral:sRNA from 1 species
UUUGGAUGUUACUCAUUGUGUAACUUUGACAUCUGGCCUCAAAUCAAGUAGGACUACCCGCUGAACUUAAGCAUAUCAAUAAGCGGAGGAAAAGAAACUAACAAGGAUUCCCCUAGUAACGGCGAGUGAAGCGGGAAGAGCUCAAAUUUGAAAUCUGGUGGCCUCAGGUCAUCCGAGUUGUAAUCUAUAGAAGUGUUUUCCGUGCUGGCUCAUGUACAAGUCCCUUGGAACAGGGCGUCAUAGAGGGUGAGAAUCCCGUCCUUGACAUGAACUACCAGUGCUCUGUGAUACAUUUUCAACGAGUCGAGUUGUUUGGGAAUGCAGCUCAAAAUGGGUGGUAAAUUCCAUCUAAAGCUAAAUAUUGGCGAGAGACCGAUAGCGAACAAGUACCGUGAGGGAAAGAUGAAAAGCACUUUGGAAAGAGAGUUAAACAGUAUGUGAAAUUGUUGAAAGGGAAACGAUUGAAGUCAGUCGUGCUCUUUGGAUUCAGCCGGUUCUGCCGGUGUACUUCCUUUGAGUGGGGUCAACAUCAGUUUUGAUCGCUGGAUAAAGGCUGGAGGAACGUAGUACCCUCGGGUAAACUUAUAGCCUCCUGUCACAUACAGUGGUUGGGACUGAGGAACGCAGCACGCCUUUAUGGCCGGGAUUCGUCCACGUACG